CCUACGGGAGGCAGCAGUGGGGAAUUUUGGACAAUGGGCGCAAGCCUGAUCCAGCCAUGCCGCGUGCGGGAAGAAGGCCUUCGGGUUGUAAACCGCUUUUGUCAGGGAAGAAAUCCUUUGAGAUAAUACCUCGGAGGGAUGACGGUACCUGAAGAAUAAGCACCGGCUAACUACGUGCCAGCAGCCGCGGUAAUACGUAGGGUGCGAGCGUUAAUCGGAAUUACUGGGCGUAAAGCGUGCGCAGGCGGUCUUGCAAGACAGAUGUGAAAUCCCCGGGCUCAACCUGGGAACUGCAUUUGUGACUGCAAGGCUAGAGUACGGUAGAGGGGGAGUGGAAUUCCGCGUGUAGCAGUGAAAUGCGUAGAUAUGCGGAGGAACACCGAUGGCGAAGGCAAUCCCCUGGACCUGUACUGACGCUCAUGCACGAAAGCGUGGGGAGCAAACAGGAUUAGAUGCCCUGGUAGUCCACGCCCUAAACGAUGUCAACUGGUUGUUGGACGGCUUGCUGUUCAGUACGAAGCUAACGCGUGAAGUUGACCGCCUGGGGAGUACGGCCGCAAGGUUGAAACUCAAAGGAUUGACGGCUGAGACAGCGAGAGACGACGAGGGAGGAGG
rnacentral:rRNA from 1 species